UACGUAGGGUGCGAGCGUUGUCCGGAAUUAUUGGGCGUAAAGAGCUCGUAGGCGGUGUGUCGCGUCGGUCGUGAAAACUUGGGGCUUAACCCUGAGCCUGCGGUCGAUACGGGCAUCACUGGAGUUCGGCAGGGGAGACUGGAAUUCCCGGUGUAGUGGUGAAAUGCGUAGAUAUCGGGAGGAACACCAGUGGCGAAGGCGGCUUCCUGGCCUGUUCUUGACGCUGAGGCGCGAAAGCUAGGGGAGCAAACGGG
rnacentral:rRNA from 1 species